CAGGUGAAUUCAUGUUUGAAAUGAAGACCCUCACAAUAUUCACCGCGCUCUGACAGCAUUCAGCUCGGACCGGUUUCAAUGUCAAGGCUGGCGUUUACAAAACCACCUCAUCCUGCAAAUGACAUAAAUACAUUAACGUACGUUCACGAGAGAUGAGUGAUCAAGUCACAUCAGCUGAUCGAGGGAAUUAUUAUGGCGUUGUCAUCGCGCUGGCGGCAAUCAGCUUCAUGCUGCUGCGGAAAUGGAUAGCUGGUGGUGUCUGCAAAAGCUGUGCUCGUCUAGAUGGAAGGACAGUUGUGAUUACUGGUGCUAACACUGGGAUUGGCAAGGAAACUGCAAAAGAUAUGGCUCGUAGAGGGGCUCGGGUAGUGAUGGCCUGCCGGGACCUGACUCGUGCCGAGAAUUCUGCAGAGUAUAUCCGACGCUCCACAGGAAAUGGCAAUGUAGUCAGCAAACACUUAAAUCUGGCCUCUCUCUAUUCUGUCCGAGAAUUUGCCAAAGAGUUCAUAGCAACAGAAGAACGACUGGAUAUACUUAUAAACAAUGCAGGUGUUAUGAUGUGUCCAAAGUGUAUUACAGAGGAUGGCUUUGAGACACAGCUGGCUGUCAAUCACUUGGGACACUUUCUUCUGACCGAUCUACUGUUAGGAAUGCUAAAGAGAUCCUCCCCCAGCCGUGUAGUGAAUGUGUCCAGUAUUGCACACGUUGGUGGAAACAUUGAAUUUGAUGACCUGUUCUUUGACAAAAGGCCUUACAGUUCUUUGCUCAGCUAUAAACAGAGUAAGCUGGCCAAUGUGCUUUUCUCUAGAGAACUUGCACGGAGAAUGAAAGGUACAGGAGUCUCUGUGUACUGCCUGCAUCCAGGAGUGAUUCGAACAGAGCUGAAUCGCCAUGUUCUGGCAUGGUACCCAAUACUGAAGACUAUACUGUCUCUGCCCUGUAUGCUGCUGAUGAAAACUCCCUGGCAGGGUGCACAGACCUCUAUCUACUGCGCUGUCACUGAGGGCUUAGAGAGGAAAACUUGUCUGGCUGUUACUUCAGGUAAAUGCAAUCAUUUGACACUUUGUCAAUAAUUUAUAAACUCAGACUGUCUUGUGUAUGUGUUUUAUGCAGUGAUUGCACUGAAAAAGACCCUUCACCAGAAGGAAAAGAUGAUGAAGUGGCAAGAAGGUUGUGGGACGAAAGUGCUCGGCUGGUUGGACUAAACAACCGCCACUGACAUGUCACACCUCUACACUCUUCCUGAUUGUAAGCACUCCACCUAGUGGUGAUACCUGCGGCCCCAAACUCUCACCAGUGCAGAGGCCGCAGAUGUGAAGUCAUGUCAGAGCUAUUGUCAAGGCAAAUUACAUGAUUUGCAUCAGAAGAUUUAUUUACCAGCCGUUUUGUGUUCUUGGAAAAGGAUUAUCAAGAAAACAGUCUCAGAGGAUAUACAUUGCUGUGUUUUCUAAGAAAUUGAUCACAUUCUUAUCAUCUGUAUAUAUGUCAGAUGUAUUAAACAUGGACAGAUUUAGGGAUAGAACGAAAAGCAAAUAGUGGUUUGUUUAUUAACCAUCCAACAAUAAAGUAGUUUUU